AGGGGGCCCCUGCCUCCAAAAUGCAUCUCUCUGGGGGACAUGACACCAAAGCUAAGAGUCCAAUCAAGCAGGAGAGACCAGCCUCCCCUGUACCCAGCUGUGUGUCCAUGAAGAGUGACCUGUCUAUGAAUCAUCCUAUAGUGUUUAGAGAGGGAGACUUUUCUACUGAACAAAGAAACCAACAGGAGAAAUCAGAGUCAGAGAUUCUCAGUGGUCAGUCUUCCCAGAGUCAUCAAACAGACCUGGACUCUGUAUUCAGUGUAUGUGAUCCUGUUAUGAACUUUUGUUUUCCUCAAGUAAAGUUUCUUUCAAUUAUUCAUUAAUGUGUUAAUGAGAAAGCAUUUCUUCUCUUGCUUAACUUAUUUACUGGAUUUAUUUUAGUUGCUUGAAGAGAAAAUGAUGACAUUUGUGAAGAACGAGCUGAAGAUGUUCAAGAGGAUUCUUAGUCCUGAACUCCCAGAAGGCUUUGAGAGUCAGAAGCAGGAUGA